AGUCCAGCGCUCCCUGCGCUUCCGGAAGCCUUGCUGCUCCCGCGUGCCUAGCGGGGGCUCGGCCCUAUGCCACGGGCAUCCCACCCUGCUACCAGCUGCCCUCUUGUCCGCUGGCCGGACUCUUACCCCAGCCUUCUUCAGGAAGACACGGCGCAGUCCGGCUUCCCCACGAAAGCGAAGGUCGCUGGGACCGCGGCUGGGCGUCCGGGGGCGGGGCCGCGACGCCAUUGUGACGCGCUCGGAGCAGGGCUGGGCCGAGGACCCCGGGCGCUGGAGGGCAGGCCCUAGCCACUGCUCCUGAGGCCCUGGAGGCAGCUGACGCUUGAGGCCGCUGGGCGCCGCAACGUGAGCCCAAAGGACGCCCCGCUUCAAGACUGGCGCAAGAGGAAAAAAUGAAGGUCGUUUUCUGCGGAGGAUGUUAGGAGAACGAGAACUGCGGGCCAGAGAACUGACCUAGCUUAAGGAGCGCAGGCAGCCUCUGCCGCCGGCUCUUGGGGAGACACGGAGAGGAUGGGGUCCCCGCUCCGCAUCAGGUCCUCUGACGCACCCCGGCUUUCCAGGAGGGUCUUGCACCAUCCCCUAGCCAGGAGUGCAGUGGCAGGAUCUCAGCUCGCUGCAGCCUUGACAGCUCAAGCAAUCUUCCCACCUCAGCCUCUCAGCCUCCCGGUAGCUGGGACGACAGGGGGUCACCACCACACCCAGCUGAUUUUUUUUUUUUUUUUUUUUUGAGAUGGUGUCUCGCACUGUCUCCCGGGCUGGAGUGCAAUGGUGCGAUCUCGGCUCACUGCAACCUCCACCUCCCAGGUUCACGGGAUUCUCCUGCUUCAGCCUCCGGAGUAGUUGGGAUUACAGGCGCACACCACCACACCCGGCUAACUUUUUGUGUUUUUAGUAGAGAGGGGGUUUCACUAUGUUGGCCAGACUGGUCUCAAACUCCUGACCUCAUGAUCUGUCCUUCUUGGCCUCCCAAAGUGCUGGGAUUACAGGGUUGAGCCACCGUUCCUAGCCACACCCAGCUGAUUUUUAAAUUUUUUUGGAGAGACACAGACUUGCUAUGUUACCUAGGCUGGUCUCUAACUCCUGGGCUCAAGUGAUCCUCCUCCUGCAUUGGCCUCCCAAAGUGCUGGGAUUACAGCUGUGAGCCACUGCAUCUGGCCAAAACAAACAUUUCUUUUUUUUUUUUUUUUUUUGGACACUGAGUCUUGCUAUGUUGUCCAGGCUAGAGUGCUGGGGUGUGAUCUUGACUCACUGCAACCUCUGCCUCCCAGGUUCAAGCGAUUCUCCUGCCUCAUCCUCCCAAGUAGCUGGGACUACAGGCACACACCACCACGCCUGGCUCAUUUUUGCAUUUUUAGUAGAGACAAGGUUUCACCAUGUUGCCCAGGCUGGUCUUGAACUCCUGAGCUUAAGUGAUCCUCCUGCUUUGGCCUCCCAAAGUGCUGGGAUUACAGACGCGAGCCACUGCACCCAGCUAAUUUUUUUAUUUUUAGUAGAGAUGGGGUUUUGCCAUGUUCGCCAGGUUAGUCUCAAACUCCUGACCUCAGGUGAUCUGCCCACCUCGGCCUCCCAAAGUGCUACUCGGGAGGCUGAGGCAGGAGAAUGGCGUGAACCCGGGAGGCGGAGCUUGCAGUGAGCCGAGAUUGCGCCACUGCACUCCAGCCUGGGCAACACAGCAAGACUCCGCCUCAAAAAACAAAAAAAAAUUAGCCAGGCAUGGUGGCAGGCGCCUGUAAUCCCAGCUACUCGGCAGGCUGAGGUGGGAAAAUCGCUUGAACCUGGGAGGCAGAGGUUGCAGUGAACCGAGAUCACGCCACUGCCUAGGCAACAGUGCGAGACUCUGUCUCAAAAAAAAAAAAAAUACAAAAAUUAGCUGGGCAUAGUGGCGCAAGCCUGUAGUCCCAGCUACUGGGGAGGCAGAGGUGAGAGAAUCGCUUGAACUUGGGAGGCAGAUGUUGCAGUGAGCUGAGAUCGUGCCAUUGCAACAUAGGGAGGCCCCAUCUCAAAAAAAAAAAAAAAAAAAGAACCACAGAUGUAGCCAGGCACAGGGGCUGAUGCGUGUAAUCCCAGCUACUCAGGAGGCUGUGGUGAGAGAAUCAUUUGAGCCUGGAACUUUAAGACCAGCCUAAGCAACGUAGUGAGACCCUGUCUCUAAAAAAAAAAAUUUUAGGCCAGGUGCGGUGGCUCACGCCUGUAAUCCCAGCACUUUGGGAGGCUGAGGCAGGUGGAUCAUGAGGUCAGGAGUUCAAGACCAGCCUGGCCAAGAUGGUGAAACCCUGUCUCUAUAAAAAAUACAAAAAUUUUCCUGGUGUGGUGGCGGGCACCUGUAAUCCCAGCUAAUCGAGAAGCUGAGGCAGAGAAUUGCUGAGAUCACGCCACUGCACUCCAGCCUGGGCAACAAGAGCAAAACUCCGUCUCAAAAAAAAAAAAUUUUUUUUAAUAAGCUAAAACAGGCUGGGAACAUGGCUAAAACCCGUCUCUACAGAAAACAUACAAAAAAAUUAGCUAGGUGUGGUAGCAAGUGCUGGUGGUCCCAGCUACUCAGGAGGCUGAGGUGGAAAGAUCACCUGAGCCCAGGACGUUGAGGCUACAGUGAGCCAUGAUCAUGCCACUGCACUACAGCCUGGGCAACAGAGUAAGACUCUAUCUCAAAAUAAUUAAUUAAAAUAAAUAUAAAAUUAAAUUUAAAACCCCAAAUGUGGCUGAGUGUGGUGGCUUACACCUAUAAUCCUAGCACUUUGGGAGGCUGAGGCAGGAGGAUCAAUUAAGCCCAGGAGUUUGAGACCAGCCUGGGCAACACAGUGGGACCCUGUCUCUAUAAAAAAUAAAACCCACAAAUCUGCAGGAGGAACAGGAAAAGUUUUGGUAAGGCGGCAUUGUCAAAUCAAAAGAGAAGGAAGGAAGGUAUCUCUUUAGACUCUGCAAACACAUUGACACAUCUCCUGAGCUUUUCUUGGUGUUGUCAGCAUCACCCAGCCCCAUCCCCUACUCCUAGACUUCCCCAGACACAGAAAUUAAUCAACACUGUACAGGACAACCAACAAAACAGAAAAUAGGGUACUCAAGCCUGGACACCAGACAGUCACCAUGGGACAGCCCAGCCUUCUGCAGUAAUAGUGGACAGAUGUUUCCAUUCAGGGAAUCCAAUAAUAAAAGGAAAAUAAAUGUGCAUGUUAAGGGCAGAAAAGAGGGAGAAGAGGGAUUACUUGACUUACAGCAAUUGCAGCUUGGAGUCUGUCUUCCAGAAUCUGAUGGCUUUCAUAAUUAUGUGGUAUGAGUGGAGGCUACCUCUGUAGCAGUGCUGUAGAAUAGAAUAUAGAAAUACAUAAGCCAGCCAGGCACAGUGGUUCACGCCUGUAAUCCCAGCACUGUAGGAGGCAGAGGUGGGUGGAUCCUCUGAGGUCAGGAGUUCAAGACUAGCCUGACUGACAUGGAGAAACCCUGUCUCUACUAAAAAUAUAAAAUUAGCCAGGCAUGGUGGCGCAUGCCUGUAAUCCCAGCUACUCCGUAGGCUGGGGCAGGAGAAUUGCUUGAACCCAGGAGGCGGAGGUUGUGGUGAGCCGAGACCGCGCCACUGCACUCUAGCCUGGGCGACAGAGCAGGACUCUGUCUCAAAAAAAAAAAAAAAUUGCUACUAGCUGCAUUUAUAAAAGUAAAAAGAAACGGGUGAAAUUAAUGUUAAUAUUUUAUUUGAUUCAAUAUAUCCAAACUAUUAUAUUUCACAUGUGAUUAAUAAAGUUAUCCAUGAGACAUUUGACAUUCUUUUUUUCUGUAUUGUCUUUGAAACCUGGUAUUACAGCACAUCUCAAUGCAUAUGCUAUAUCUUCCUGGGUAUACUUAAUUUUUAUUUAGAAUCCAUAAAAAUAAUAGUUGACGCUGGGUGCAGUGGCUCAAGCCUGUAAUCCCAGCACUUUGGGAGGCCGAAGCGGGCAGAUCACGAGGUCAAGAGAUCGAGACCUUCCUGGCCAAUAUGGUGAAACCCCGUCUCUACUAAAAAUACAAAAAUUAGCUGGACAUGGUGGUGGGUGCCUGCAGUCCCAGCUACUCAGGAAGGUGAGGCAGGAUAAUCGCUUGAACCUUGGAGGUGGAGAUUGCAGUGAGCCGAGAUCAGGCCACUGCACUCCAGCCUGGCGACAAAGCAACACUCUGUCUCAAAAAUAAAAUAAAAUAAUAGUUGAAAAAGUAGAUUCACAUACCCAAGUUGUUCUAAACAUACUUAAAAGUCUUCUAGGCCGGGCGCAGUGGCUCAUGCCUGUAAUCCCAGCACUUUGGGAGGCCGAGGCGGGUGGAUUGCCUGAGAUCAGGAGUUCGAGACCAGCCUGGCCAACAUAGUGAAACCCUGUCUCUAUUAAAAAUACAAAAAAAUUAGCUGGGCGUGGUGGUGGGCACCUGUAAUCCCAGCUACUAAGGAAGCUGAGGCAGGAGAAUCACUUGAACCCAUGAGGCAGAGGUUGCAGUGAGCCGAGAUCAUGCCAUUGCACUCCAGCCUGGGCAACAAGAGCAAAACUCUUGUCUCAAAAGGAAAAAAAAAAGUCUUCUAAUAACUGAAUGAGUAUUUGUUUUUAAAUUUAAGGCAAGGACAUGAAGAAAUG
rnacentral:lncRNA from 1 species